AAAACAAGCACCCAAAAAAGCAUGAAAGGCACGCGUAUUUCAAAUAAAAAAGCACGUGUUUUCUGCGUUUUUUGUCCGUUCACCGCAAGAAUUGAUCUUACAAAUAAUGAAAUCCAUUUUCGAAAUGUAAGAAACUACCUGGAGACAAUAUGAUUCUCUCUGUUGGCCUGGGAGAAGUGCAGAAGCUUACCAGCUUCAGCUUCGUCUAAGAAUUUGCUUUUGGCAAGAGGAUGGUUAUAUCUGCAAUUUGAAGAAGAUCAGGGGCUUACCUUCAACUUAGGACAUGCAUUUGACCUGCUCUCUUGGGGCAAUUUGAGAGAUGAAACUUGCUUGUGGACAGCUGCAGAUAUUUCCAGGUUUGAAAUUCAAACCAAUUUCUUACAUUGUAUUUAUAGUCAUUCCCUUUG